AUGUACAGAUUGAUGAGUGGUAUGAAGAGUGAGUAUACCAGAGUGUUUGAUUACCAAUUAGAGCUGCUUAGGAGCAACCCUGGAAGCACUGUUAUUGUGUGUUUGGAUCCAACAAACAUGGUUCAAAAUAUAUUUGAGGGUUUCUGUGUUUUCUUCAAUGCAAUGAAAUAAGGAUUCAAGGCUGGAUGCAGGAAAGUGAUAGGCCUUGAUGGAUGUUUCUUCAAAGGGGCAGUGAAGGGUGAGCUCUCGUGUGCCAUAGGUAGGGAUGCUAACAAUCAAAUGUAUCCACUAGCUUGGGUUGUAGUUGAGCAGGAAACCAAUGCAACUUGGAAAUGGUUUGUUGGGCUACUCAUCAAGGAUCUUGACAUCAACAACAAUGGAGCUGGCUGGGUGUUUAUCUCUGAUCAACAAAAGUGCAUACUCAAUGCCAUGCAGGACUAUCUACCAGCUGCAGAGCACAGGAUGUGUGCUAGGCACAUAUAUGGUAACUGGAGGAAGAAGCACAAAGCUCAUGAUUGGCAGAAAAAUUGUUGGGCUGUUGCCAAAGCUUCCAAUAAGCAAGAUUUCAACUAUUACAGAGCCAAGCUUGCCCAAUAGACACCUGAAGGGGCUAAGGACAUGAUGAGGACAGAGCCUGUGCAUUGGGCAAGGGUUUUCUUUCCAAUGUGA
rnacentral:rRNA from 1 species